GCUCACGGCCAUAUCAGCCUGGGUACACCCGAUCUUGUCUGAUCUCGGAAGCUAAGCAGGGUCGGGCCUGGUUAGUACUUGGAUGGGAGACCCCUGGGAAUACCAGGUGCUGUAAGCA
rnacentral:rRNA from 1 species